rnacentral:rRNA from 1 species
UACGAGGGGGGCUAGUGUUGUUCGGAAUCACUGGGCGUAAAGGGAGCGUAGGCGGGCGUUUAAGUUAGGUGUUUAAUCCCGGGGCCCAACCCCGGACCGGCACCUAAAACUGGACGUCUUGAAUAGUGGAGAGGUCGGUGGAAUUGGAGGUGUAGCGGUGGAAUGCGUAGAGAUCUCCAAGAACACCCGUUGCGAAGGCGGGUUGCUGGGCUGAUACUGACGCUGAGGCGCGAAAGCCAGGGGAGCGAACGGG